GAUGAACGCUGGCGGCGUGCCUAAUACAUGCCAGUCGAGCGAACAGACGAGGAGCUUGCUCCUCUGACGUUAGCGGCGGACGGGUGAGUAACACGUGGAUAACCUACCUAUAAGACUGGGAUAACUUCGGGAAACCGGAGCUAAUACCGGAUAAUAUAUUGAACCGCAUGGUUCAAUAGUGAAAGACGGUUUUGCUGUCACUUAUAGAUGGAUCCGCGCCGCAUUAGCUAGUUGGUAAGGUAACGGCUUACCAAGGCAACGAUGCGUAGCCGACCUGAGAGGGUGAUCGGCCACACUGGAACUGAGACACGGUCCAGACUCCUACGGGAGGCAGCAGUAGGGAAUUUUCCGCAAGGGGCGAAAGCCUGACGGAGCAACGCCGCGUGAGUGAUGAAGGUCUUCGGAUCGUAAAACUCUGUUAUUAGGGAAGAACAAAUGUGUAAGUAACUAUGCACGUCUUGACGGUACCAAAUCAGAAAGCCACGGCUAACUACGU
rnacentral:rRNA from 1 species